rnacentral:rRNA from 1 species
GACGAACCGUGCGAACGUUGUUCGGAAUCACUGGGCUUAAAGGGCGCGUAGGCGGCCCGCCGCGUCCGGGGUGAAAUCCUCCCGCUCAACGGGAGGACGGCCUCGGAUACGGGCGGGCUGGAGGGGGGUAGGGGAGACUGGAAUUCCUGGUGUAGCGGUGAAAUGCGCAGAUAUCAGGAGGAACACCGAUGGCGAAGGCAGGUCUCUGGGCCACUACUGACGCUGAGAAGCGAAAGCAUGGGGAGCGAACAGG